rnacentral:lncRNA from 1 species
CAAAAGACGAGUGAAAGUAACCUGGUUGUCACAUACCCCCAGCUUAGAGGUGCUUCACCCUGCCCCAAGGUGGGGAAAGAUCAAGUGCAGACUGAGCUGUGGCCAACGUUUGCAGACCAGGAAUCCACACUAGCUCUAAUCAGAGAGCCCUUGGUGUGCGGGAACUGCCAGUUUGCCGACGUGAAAAGAGUCCCAGACUGGGUAAUGGUGAGCCCUGAAGUCGCACCCCAGCUCUGCCACUCAGUGAGCACGGCAACAUCCCUAAUCCUGACCAGCCAUGGAGAGGUUCGGUUCUUACAAG